rnacentral:rRNA from 1 species
GAUGAACGCUGGCGGCGUGCCUAACACAUGCAAGUCGAGCGAUUGACUUCGAUAAAUAGCUGCGGACUGGUAGGGAAGGCCGGGUGAAUAUGCCCUGGACACACGAAUAACAUACCGAAAGUUAUUCUAAGACAAGAUAAUAUGCUUCUAUCGAAUUUUAGAAGUAUCAAAGCUUUUACGGUACAGGAUGGAUGCGCUUCUGAUUAGCUAGUUGGUGAGUUAACGACACACCAAGGGGACGAUCAGUAGCCGAGCUGAGAGGUUGAUCGGCCACAUGGGAACUGAGACACAGUCCAAACUCCUACGGGAGGCAGCAGUGGGGAAUAUUGCACAAUGGGCGAAAGCAUGAUGCAGCACCGACGGGUGAGCGAUGAAGGCCUUCGGGUAGUAAAGCUCUGUUAUCAGGGAAGAUAAUGACGGUACCUGAGGAGAAAGCCCCGGCUAACUACGUG